rnacentral:misc_RNA from 1 species
AGGGCAAGUCACAAAUGGAUUUCUCGGUUAUCAAAAAAAAGGAUUUUGCAGAGACUUUCGAGAUCUUCCAAAGAAAGUAUUGAUGACAAGGUUAUUGGAUUUCUGCUCUGAACAUGUAUCUGCAUACCUACACUCUAUCAUAAACUCUGGAUCAGUCCUGGAACAAUCUACAUAUUCCUUUAUCUCCAAGCGCAGUGCCUUGUUUGAACAACUUGUGAUCUUCCUGACUACGAAAUCUCUGGAAGGUCUUCGUGCAAGUCAACUUGCAUGUUGUAUUAUUUCAGAACAAUGGUGGUGGCUGUUCAGAAAAGCAACCUUUGCAUCCACUGUAGCUCUGCUACUCCAGAUGAAU